UGUAGAGUAUAAGGAUCCUAGAUACCUUACUCGUUUAGUAUGAAUCGAGGAGGGAAAAGUGCGUGUGUGGCGAAGUUCAGCAGGUAUGGUGAACCUGCAUAUAGAUAGUUAUGUGGAACCUAGUUCAAACAUUCAAACAUGAAUAAGUAUUUGUGAGUGUGUGGGUCACCUAACAAACAUACCUACUGUAACUAAUGUGAGAUUGUGU
rnacentral:lncRNA from 1 species